UGGAUCCAGACUUUGAUUAUGGCUCAGGAUGAACGCUAGCUACAGGCUUAACACAUGCAAGUCGAGGGGAAACGAUAGAGAAAGCUUGCUUUUUCUAGGCGUCGACCGGCGCACGGGUGAGUAACGCGUAUCCAACCUGCCCACCACUUGGGAAUAACCUUGCGAAAGUAAGACUAAUACCCAAUGAUAUCUCUAGAAGACAUCUGAAGGAGAUUAAAGAUUUAUCGGUGAUGGAUGGGGAUGCGUCUGAUUAGCUUGUUGGCGGGGUAACGGCCCACCAAGGCGACGAUCAGUAGGGGUUCUGAGAGGAAGGUCCCCCACAUUGGAACUGAGACACGGUCCAAACUCCUACGGGAGGCAGCAGUGAGGAAUAUUGGUCAAUGGACGAGAGUCUGAACCAGCCAAGUAGCGUGCAGGAUGACGGCCCUAUGGGUUGUAAACUGCUUUUAUAAGGGAAUAAAGUGAGAGUCGUGACUCUUUUUGCAUGUACCUUAUGAAUAAGGACCGGCUAAUUCCGUGCCAGCAGCCGCGGUAAUACGGAAGGUCCGGGCGUUAUCCGGAUUUAUUGGGUUUAAAGGGAGCGUAGGCCGGAGAUUAAGCGUGUUGUGAAAUGUAGAUGCUCAACGUCUGCACUGCAGCGCGAACUGGUUUCCUUGAGUACGCACAAAGUGGGCGGAAUUCGUGGUGUAGCGGUGAAAUGCUUAGAUAUCACGAAGAACUCCGAUUGCGAAGGCAGCUCACUGGAGCGCAACUGACGCUGAAGCUCGAAAGUGCGGGUAUCGAACAGGAUUAGAUACCCUGGUAGUCCGCACGGUAAACGAUGGAUGCCCGCUGUUGGUCUGAAUAG
rnacentral:rRNA from 1 species